ensembl:lncRNA
CAGGUAUGCUGUACGGCCACAGGCCAGACGUCUGUGAGGAUAGGGGCAUAUGGGUACAUGCAUAGCAGUCAGUUUUGUUAUUCAAAUGAGCUGUAGUGUUCAUAAACUGCCACCAGAAGUUAGUGGCGUAUCCAUGGGGAAACUUGGUGUACUUUCCUUUGUCAUACAGUGUCUGCCUUUUCUCCAUAUAGCGUGACUUGUUGUCCCUCACGGAAGCAAAGGUGAGGAGCCCGGCCAUGGUCAGGGCCGCUGCAGUUGUUAAGAGCCACCACCUCAUGACGACGGGACACACCCUCCUGUCGCGAGUAGACCCCCCGGCCAGGAAAGCUGACCCCUCCACCGGGCGAGAUCACAACAAGUGGGCAAGCCUGCCGUCAGCUGUGUUUAGAUGGCUUCACUGACUCGCCUGCAGUGACUCUGAUGGAUCCAGGAUGGUCGUUCCGCAAUUUUGCAAGCGGUCGGUGUAGUGAGGAGGACUUGGUAUGGCCCCUCCCACCUGGGUGUGCUCCAGUUUUUCCUUUGGAGCACCUUGAUCAGAACCCAGACACCGGGCUUUAGUCUGCAAGACACUGGAGAAACAUCAUCAGCUGCUAUCCACCUUCGCUGGUAUGAGGAAUGAGAGUGGUUGUUCACACGCCCUUCUACUUUCGGACUAUUUCCAAAAGCGGUGUGAACUUUACGAGGCGGAACUCGACCGUUCUCCCAAACCACCAGCACUUCAGCGAACAGCAGUGAAAGGAAAAACACAGUAGGAGCGGCUCAGUCUCUUAUUGGACCGUGAAAAGUCAGCUUGCUCCGUUAGUUACAACAAUACACACAUACAUUCACAUUCACACUUAUUCGCGCGAUCGGAACCCUUAUAAUAAGGGGAGCUGCCAGUCUUUCUGUAGACGAGCUACUUAUUCCCUUGACCCAGCUGGGGGAGCUACUCAGAGCUCCAAACCUAACCCACAAGAGUGGGGAGCUUCCAGUCGACGAGCUCCAAGCUACCAGCCGACGAGCUACUUUAAACCCACAGAAGUGGGGAGCUUCCAGUCGCGACGAGCUACUUUCGCUAUUUUAAAUUCCCUGAAUUUAAAAUACGUUUUUACGCAAGAUUGUGUCAGUGUGUCUGUAUCUACCUGGUCAGUGUCGCCGGGUCUGGUCCACCUCGAUCGGGCCCCACCACCGUGGGUCGCUUUCUAAGAACGUUGGCCAAGACUCGAAUUUAACGCCCUUGGUCUUUGACCACACACCUAGUGUGUGGG